GACGUAGGGCGCGAGCGUUGUCCGGAUUUAUUGGGCGUAAAGAGCUCGUAGGCGGCUUGUCGCGUCGGCUGUGAAAUCCCGUGGCUCAACUGUGGGCGGGCAGCUGAUACGGGCAGGCUGGAGUUCGGUAGGGGAGACUGGAAUUCCUGGUGUAGCGGUGAAAUGCGCAGAUAUCAGGAGGAACACCGGUGGCGAAGGCGGGUCUCUGGGGCCGAUACUGACGUGAGGAGCGAAAAGCGUGGGGGAGCGAACAGG
rnacentral:rRNA from 1 species